AGCUCUAACCACGUUAAUCUUUAGUUGCCUGUACCCGAAACCGACACAGGUAGGGGGGUAGAGAAUACCAAGGGGCGCGAGAUAACUCUCUCUAAGGAACUCGGCAAAAUGACCCCGUAACUUCGGGAGAAGGGGUACCACUGAGAAGUGGUCGCAGUGAAGAGGCCCAGGCGACUGUUUACCAAAAACACAGGUCUCCGCCAAGUCGCAAGACGAAGUAUGGGGGCUGACGCCUGCCCAGUGCCGGAAGGUUAAGGAAGUGGGUUAGGGAUUCGUCCCGAAGCUGACGACUGAAGCCCCGGUGAACGGCGGCCGUAACUAUAACGGUCCUAAGGUAGCGAAAUUCCUUGUCGGGUAAGUUCCGACCCGCACGAAAGGCGUAACGAUCUGGGCGCUGUCUCGGAGAGAGGCUCGGCGAAAUAGGAAUGUCUGUGAAGAUACGGACUACCUGCACCUGGACAGAAAGACCCUAUGAAGCUUUACUGUAGCUUGGAAUUGGGUUCGGUCUUGGUUUGCGCAGGAUAGGUGGGAGGCGAAGAAGAUUUGCUUGUGGGUGAAUCUGAGCCAACGGUGAGAUACCACUCUAACCAGGCUAGAAUUCUAACUUCAACCCGUCAACCGGGGGAAGGACAGUUUCAGGUGGGCAGUUUGACUGGGGCGGUCGCCUCCUAAAAGAUAACGGAGGCGCACAAAGGUUCCCUCAGGCUGGUUGGAAAUCAGCCAACGAGCGCAAAGGCAGAAGGGAGCUUGACUGCGAGACCUACAAGUCAAGCAGGGUGGAAACACGGUCUUAGUGAUCCGACGGCACCGAGUGGAAGGGCCGUCGCUCAACGGAUAAAAGUUACUCUAGGAUAACAGGCUGAUCUCCCCCAAGAGUUCACAUCGACGGGGAGGUUUGGCACCUCGAUGUCGGCUCAUCGCAACCUGGGGCGGAAGUACGUCCCAAGGGUUGGGCUGUUCGCCCAUUAAAGCGGUACGUGAGCUGGGUUCAGAACGUCGUGAGACAGUUCGGUCCAUAUCCGGUGUAGGCGCAAGAACAUUGAGAGGAGUCUUCCUUAGUACGAGAGGACCGGGAAGAACGCACCGCUGGUGUACCUGUUAUCGUGCCAACGGUAAACGCAGGGUAGCCAAGUGCGGAGUGGAUAACCGCUGAAAGCAUCUAAGUGGGAAGCCCACCUCAAGAUGAGUGCUCUCAUGGAGUAAUCCAGUAAGGUCACGGGAAGACGACCCGUUGAUAGGCGGUAGGUGGAAGUUCAGCAAUGGAUGAAGCCGAGCCGUACUAACAGACCGAGGGCUUGACC
rnacentral:rRNA from 1 species